rnacentral:rRNA from 1 species
UACGAAGGGGGCUAGCGUUGUUCGGAAUUACUGGGCGUAAAGGGCGCGUAGGCGGCUCUGAUCGUCGGAUGUGAAAGCCCGGGGCUUAACCCCGGGUCUGCAUUCGAUACGGGCUGGCUAGAGUGUGGUAGGGGAGAUCGGAAUUCCUGGUGUAGCGGUGAAAUGCGUAGAUAUCUGGAGGAAUACCGGUGGCGAAGGCGGCAUCCUGGACCGGCAUUGACGCUGAUGAGCGAAAGCUAGGGGAGCAAACGGGG